UAAACGCAUACUUUAUUACCCAUUUUCAUUUUGCACUUAACCCUUCUUCGUGCCCUUCUCUCACUCUCGUUCACAACGCAAUCUUUCUCCAACCCUUGGAUCUCAACGUUCAGGCAGGUUUAACUCGGUUGGGGUUUUGGUUCACGAGUUGAAUCGGUAAUUAGGUUUAUGCAUGAUUGGAGGUGAAGCUGUGAUUAUAUAGUUCAAAAUGGGGUUUGAUAAUGAGUGCAUAAUCAAUAUUCAAUCUCUUGCUGGAGAGUAUUUUUGUCCUGUUUGUCGUCUUCUCGUGUUUCCGAAUGAAGCUUUGCAGUCACAAUGCACUCAUUUAUAUUGCAAGCCGUGUUUGACGUAUGUUGUGAGUACUACCAGGGCUUGUCCUUAUGAUGGUUAUUUGGUGACUGAGGCCGAUUCCAAGCCUUUGGUAGAGACGAAUAAGGCACUUGCUGAAACUAUUGGGAAAAUAGCAGUUCAUUGCUUGUAUCAUAGGAGUGGAUGCUCAUGGCAAGGAACUUUGUCUGAGUGUACAUCUCAUUGUUCUGGAUGUACUUUUGGCAACUCUCCUGUUGUUUGCAACAGGUGUGGGAUUCAAAUAGUGCACAGUCAAGUUCAAGAACAUGCACAAACUUGUUCUGGUGUGCAAGGUCAGGUACAGCAGGGGGGCGUUGCUCAGGAUCCUUCAGCUACCAGUGCUUUUGCUGUUGCAUCCACUGAUCAAAACCAGGUUGCGGCUCCAGUUGCAGCAACAGCUUCACAACCAGUGACUUCUCAAUCAGUGGUUGCAACUAGUGCAGCUGGACAUGUUUCAAAUCAGCUACCCAACCCGGCAUCUCAAACCCAAGCUUUAGGCCAAGCGGCUGUGCAGCCAACAGCAGAGCAAUGGUAUCAGCAGCAACAGUAUCAACAAUAUUACCAGCAAUACCCUGGACAAGAUCCAUACCAACAGCAGUAUCAGCAGUAUUACCCUUAUCAACAGUCUGCUGUUCCACAAUACCAACAGGCCUAUGUCCAACCUCAGCCACAGACACAGCCUCAGCCCCAGUCGCAGCCUCAAGCACAGCCUCAGGCUCAAGGAAUGUCUCAACCAGUUUCACAUGUGCAGACUCCUGCAGCCCCACAAUCUCAGAAUCAUAUGCAAGUUCACCAACAACCUCAGCAGCUUCAACCUGCUGUACAGCCUCAUGGGCAGACGGGUCACCCACCUGGCCACGGUCAAGCCUUCCCUCAGCCUCAGUCUUAUCCAUACUCCCAAGUUCAGCCUCAUUCUGGGCAACCCCAACAAAAUAUGCAAAUCCCUCCUUAUCAGCUACCUCAUCCUCAAAUGCAGCAUCCACAACCUCAAAAUCAGCAACCAGUUCAGAAGAAUCCUGUUCCUCAACCUCAAGUUCAUCCACAAAUGCAAUCUAAUGCUCCAGUUCAACAUCCUUCUCAGCCUCAGAUGCAAUCUCACCUUCCCAUGCCUCCUAAUGUACAAGCUCAAGGGCAAAAUACAAUGUCACACGCAGUUACAGGUCAUCACUCUUAUCCCCAACCUAUGCCUCAUCAGAAUAUGCCAGUGGGAGCCCCUCAGUCUAACAUGCACUUGAAUCCUCAAAGUGGGCAGCUCCAGGGCCAGCAUCCUGUCCAGAUGCAGAAUCAGUUUCCUCAGCAAACUCCAAUGAUGCGCCCAAACCAGUCUCAUGCUAUGUAUCCUAACCAGCAGUUAGCUUUGUUGCCUUCAUCUGUUCAAGGUCAAAGCACCCCUCCUCUGCAACCACAGCCAGGAUACACUCCUAAUCAACAAACUGGACAAACCAACCAACGUCCUAUUUUGCAACCGGUUCAACAAAUAUUACCUCAGCAACCAUUUGCACAACACCAUACCCCCAUGCCAUCUCAUCUUCGACCCCAAGGUCCAGUACAUUCAUUUCCCAAGCAUGCUUAUCCCCAGUCCAAGGGUAAUACUACACUAUCUCAAAAUGCCGUUGGAAGGCCUUCAAUUCCCAAUCAUGCAGGACAUGUACAGCCAUUUGUACACUCUGCCAAUACAAUUCCUGUAAGACCAGGGAAUCAGAAUAUGUUGGUCGGGACCAAUAAUCAAGUGCAGUCAAGGGUCCCAGAACCAAUUGAAAGACAAGGUGAUGUCACAGAGCAACAGACUGAGUCUGCCUCUGGGAAAAUUGGAAAAAAUGAGUUGAAAUCUGAAAAUGAAACAAGUUUGAAAUCCACUGAGGUUGGGAGUAAGCAAAACAGUGAAGAUCCACACUCUGUGAAGACUUCAGGCCCAAAUGCUAAUGCAUUAGAAAAUGGUGAUACAUUGAAUAAAAAUGUUGGAAAGGGCGAGGCUUCUGAAAGCACAGAGGUUCAACAUAAUAGUAAUGAGCAUUCUGUUGUACAAGGCAAUGAAAUUCAAGGUGGACCUCCCCUGAAGACAGAGAUGAAACUCUCUGAAUCGGACACUGAUAAACUGCACAGUGAUGAUAUUAAUACUCCAAGACCUCCUUCUGGUGCUGACAAUCCUGCACCAGCUGUCUCUCAGACCAAUGGUGUUCAUGGACCUGGCAUUGGUGAAUAUAGAGGGAUGCAGUCUGGGGGCUUAGUUCAGCCAUCUCAUCCAGGUUCUUUCCAGCAGAGGUCUUCUGCAAUUUUGAUGCCACAUCCAACAGGUCCAAAUCAGCCUCUUUCUGCAGCAAACUCUUCAACUCUUCUCAGGAAUCAUGGAACUGCACCUGCACUUCAUUCAGGACAGGCUUUAAACUCCAUGGAUAAUUUUCAGCCAACCAUGUUUAAGCAACCACAUGGUUCUGAUGUUCAGUUUAAUAUUCCAGGCCGCAGCUUUCAACAUCAGCCUCACGGACCUCCAGCAGGACCAUAUAACCAAGUUCAUGAACCACCCUUCCAUCCUGGAGCUUCCAAUUUGUCUCGAAGUGGAGGACCGCAGUUUGGUGCCCCACCACAUGGAGAUAUGCACGGUGGAAUGACAGCCAACUUUCCCCCACAUGCUCCUGAAGGUUUUGGUGUGCAGGAUGAAAGGUUCAAAUCUUUCCAAAUUCCUAGUCAACCAAAUAUUGACCGGAGAGAGUUUGAAGAUGAUCUCAAGAAAUUCCCUAGGCAUCCUUUUGAUGCUGAACCAGGUUCUAAAUAUGGGAAUCAUUCAUUAGGUCUACAUGAAGCUGGAAAGAGACCAAUUGUCUUUCAUGAUGAUGCCAUCAAGAAGCCAACUUCAACUCUUCAUCCUGGUCAUCUUGGACCAGGUCCUGGAUAUGGGAUGCAUCCUAUGGAUGGUAUGGCUCCAAGAAGCCCCGGUAGUGAAUACACGGAUAUGCCUUCCCGUAGAUUUGGACCCCUCUCUGGUGGUCUUAUUAGCAAGUCAGGUAUAGAUGAUUUUGAAGGCAGAAAUGCAAGUCGAUUUGGUGAUUCAGUUGGCAAUGCAUUCCGUGAUGGUCGGUUUCCUCACCCCCCUAGCCAUUUGCAUAGAGAUGAGUUUGACGGUUUUGGUAAUUUUCGAAUGGGCGAACAUCCAAGGAGGGGUAAUUUCACUGGUCAGGACGAAUUUGCUGGCCAUUUCCAAAGGGGUGAACAUUUAGGUCCACAUAAAUUUCCUAGACAUUUGCGGCUGGAGGAGCGUAUUGGUUUUGGUGAUCAUCCCGGUCAUAUGCGAGCCUUUGAACUUAGUGGUUCUCGGAGUUUUGAAUCUUUUACCCAAGGCAGCAGGCCAGGCCAUCCACAGCUUGGUGAACCUGGGUUUAGGAGCAGCUUUUCCCUCACAGGAUUUAACAAUGAUGCUGGAUUUUUAACUGGAGAUACCCGGCCGUUUGAUAAUCCGAGAAGAAGAAAGGCUAUAAGUACGGGGUGGUGCCGGAUAUGUAAAAUUGACUGUGAAACAGUUGAAGGUUUGGAAUUGCAUUCUCAAACAAGGGAGCAUCAGAAGAUGGCCAUGGAUGUAGUUAAAGCAAUCAAACAAAAUGCGAAGAAACAUAAAUUAAUACCCAGUGAACAAUCCUCAGUUGAAGAUGGAAAUAAAACACGGGCUACUGGUUUUGAGGGUCAUGGAAAUAAGCAUUAAGUGGCUGUGGUUUGCAGUAAUUAUGGUUGCAGCUAUCAUGUUAAAUGGAGAUGCUUUUUGGAUCUGAAGUCCUGUGGCAAACUGCUUCCUAGUUAAAGAUUAUAUCAUCUUUCUAUCACAAUGUUGGGAGCUUUCUUGAAGUGGUGAGAUAGACUUCUUGAUUGGCAAUUCUGGGUCUCAAUCUCUACCUUGUCAAUGUGUUUAAAUCAGGUGAAAAAACAUCAUGCAGAGCCUUAAUAGAAUAAUCUCCACAUGGAUCUUCGAGUAGGGGUGGAAGUUGACAUCCGUAGAUCUAAGUUACCUUUAGCAUAAAAAGUAUAUAACAAUUCCACUUAUUAGAUUGCAUAUACAUCUGACUUCCAUAGAUCUAAAUUACCUUUAGCAUAUAAAGUAGGGUUAAUAGAACCCUCCCUGUAAUAUGAGUAUGUUUCGGUUUACCCCAUCGUUGCCAAAAGGUAGGGAGGGGGAAAAAGUAAAAUUCGCUUACAUUACAGGGUGAAUUACAUAACAUAAAGUAUAUAACAAUUCCACUUAUUAGAUUGCAUAGAGAUUAUGAUUGCCAAGUUUAAUUUAUUUAAGGAAGAACAUUGAAGUCCAUCACAAAAAUAGUGGGUAAAUUUUGAG